rnacentral:rRNA from 1 species
UACAGAGGGGGCUAGCGUUGUUCGGAAUUACUGGGCGUAAAGGGCGCGUAGGCGGCCUGCUAAGUCGAACGUGAAAUCCCUGGGCUCAACCCAGGAACUGCGUCCGAUACUGGUUGGCUUGAAUCCGGGAGAGGGAUGUGGAAUUCCAGGUGUAGCGGUGAAAUGCGUAGAUAUCUGGAGGAAUACCGGUGGCGAAGGCGGCAUCCUGGACCGGCAUUGACGCUGAGGAGCGAAAGCCAGGGGAGCAAACGGG